GUGACAGUUAGCAUCUUUGUCUUGUUCCAGUUCUCAAGGGGAAUGCUUCUAGCUUUUGCUCAUUCAAUAUGAUGUUAGCUGUGGGUUCGUGACAGACAGCUCUUAUUAUUUUGAGGACUGUUGCGGAGGGAAGUAAGUGAAUGUGUCCAAAACACUUGGAAGUUUGCCUGGAAUCCAGUGUGUGCUAUACCAGAGUCCUAGUUAGGCGUGGCCUUGAACAGCCCUGAGAAUGAACAUCUGAGAAGCGUCAAUGUGGGAUGCCCUGAGAUGCAAUUAAGAGGAGGAAGGAAACCAUGGUUCUAUUUUAACAUGCCAGCACCAUGUAAAAGACUACUCAAUGUGAAGAUGAUGAGGAUGAAGACCUUUAUAAUGAUCCACUUCCACUUAAUGAAUAGUAAGUAUGUUUUCUCUUCUUCAUGAUUCUCUGAAUAACAUUUUCUUUUCUCUAGCUUUCUUUAUUACAAGAAUACAGUAUACAAUACACAUAUCAUACAAAUAUGUGUUAAUUGACUGUUAAUGUCCUCAGUAAGGCUUCUGGUC
rnacentral:lncRNA from 10 species